rnacentral:rRNA from 1 species
GACGAACGCUGGCGGCGUGCUUAACACAUGCAAGUCGAACGGGAGUAUCGAAGAAGCUUGCUUUUAAGAUACUUUAGUGGCGGACGGGUGAGUAACGCGUGAGGAGCUGUCCUAUGCAGGGGGACAACAGUUGGAAACGACUGCUAAUACCCCAUAAGCCGAGAGGUGAAAGGAUUUAUCCGGCAAAGGAGGUACUCGCGUCCUAUCAGCUAGUAGGUGAGGUAACGGCUCACCUAGGCGAAGACGGGUAGCCGGCCUGAGAGGGCGAACGGCCACACUGGAACUGAGAUACGGUCCAGACUCCUACGGGAGGCAGCAGUGGGGAAUAUUGGGCAAUGGGGGCAACCCUGACCCAGCGACGCCGCGUGGGUGAAGAAAUCCUUCGGGAUGUAAAGCCCUGUUGUAUGGGAAGAGCAGAAGACGGUACCAUACGAGGAAGCCCCGGCAAACUACGUGCCAGCAGCCGCCGUAA